rnacentral:rRNA from 1 species
AUUGAACGCUGGCGGCAGGCCUAACACAUGCAAGUCGAGCGGAUGAAGGGAGCUUGCUCCUGGAUUCAGCGGCGGACGGGUGAGUAAUGCCUAGGAAUCUGCCUGGUAGUGGGGGAUAACGUCCGGAAACGGGCGCUAAUACCGCAUACGUCCUGAGGGAGAAAGUGGGGGAUCUUCGGACCUCACGCUAUCAGAUGAGCCUAGGUCGGAUCAGCUAGUUGGUGGGGUAAAGGCCUACCAAGGCGACGAUCCGUAACUGGUCUGAGAGGAUGAUCAGUCACACUGGAACUGAGACACGGUCCAGACUCCUACGGGAGGCAGCAGUGGGGAAUAUUGGACAAUGGGCGAAAGCCUGAUCCAGCCAUGCCGCGUGUGUGAAGAAGGUCUUCGGAUUGUAAAGCACUUUAAGUUGGGGGGAAGGGCAGUAAGUUAAUACCUUGCUGUUUUGACGUUACCAACAGAAUAAGCACCGGCUAACUUCGUG